CAGUAGCCGCGGGAAUACGUAGGUGGCAAGCGUUGUCCGGAAUUAUUGGGCGUAAAGGGCUCGCAGGCGGUUUCUUAAGUCUGAUGUGAAAGCCCCCGGCUCAACCGGGGAGGGUCAUUGGAAACUGGGAAACUUGAGUGCAGAAGAGGAGAGUGGAAUUCCACGUGUAGCGGUGAAAUGCGUAGAGAUGUGGAGGAACACCAGUGGCGAAGGCGACUCUCUGGUCUGUAACUGACGCUGAGGAGCGGAAGCGUGGGGAGCGAACAGGAUUAGAUACCCGGGUAGUCCCUGUCUCUUAUAC
rnacentral:rRNA from 1 species